rnacentral:rRNA from 1 species
GACGAACGCUGGCGGCGUGCUUGACACAUGCAAGUCGAACGAUGAUGCCCAGCUUGCUGGGCGGAUUAGUGGCGAACGGGUGAGUAACACGUGAGUAACCUGCCCCUGACUCUGGGAUAAGCGUUGGAAACGACGUCUAAUACUGGAUAUGAUCACUGGCCGCAUGGUCUGGUGGUGGAAAGAUUUUUUGGUUGGGGAUGGACUCGCGGCCUAUCAGCUUGUUGGUGAGGUAAUGGCUCACCAAGGCGACGACGGGUAGCCGGCCUGAGAGGGUGACCGGCCACACUGGGACUGGGACACGGCCCAGACUCCUACGGGAGGCAGCAGUGGGGAAUAUUGCACAAUGGGCGCAAGCCUGAUGCAGCAACGCCGCGUGAGGGAUGACGGCCUUCGGGUUGUAAACCUCUUUUAGUAGGGAAGAAGCGAAAGUGACGGUACCUGCAGAAAAAGCACCGGCUAACUACGUGCCAGCCGCCGCCGUAAGAC